rnacentral:pre_miRNA from 1 species
UAAAUACUCCCUCUGUCCAGAAUUACUUGUCGCAGAAAUAGAUGUAUCUAGAUACAUGGAUGUAUCUAGAUACAUUCAUUUAUAUCCAUUUCCAUGACAAGUAAUUCGGAUUGGAGGGGGUAUGAA